AUGAUGAAAGCUUAUGAUAGGGUAGAGUGGGAGUAUUUACAAGCAAUCAUGUUGAAACUUGGUUUCUCUCAGAGGUGGGUGGAUAUUGUCAUGGGACUGGUAUCUUCAGUAACUUUCUCAGUUCAGUUUAAUGGGAAGAGGUUGGAGGAGUUUACACCAACACGUGGGAUUAGACAAGGGGACCCGAUAUAUCCAUACUUGUUCUUGCUAGCAGCAGAGGGCCUUUCGUGCCUGUUAAAAUCCAGAAGUGAGUCAUCCAACAUGAGUGGUUUACAAGUGGCGCCCUCGUCACCUAAGGUGAAUCACUUAUUAUUCGCUGAUGACAGCCUGCUGUUUUUCAAGGCAAAUAGUAUGGGUGCUACCGAGGUGAACCUAGUCCUGGACAGAUACUGUCAGGCCUCAGGGCAGCGUAUCAACUACAAUAAGUCAUCGGUUUAUUUCAGCAAAGGGGUUCCCGACAGUAUCCGGACAGAGGUGAAGACGGUGUUGCAAGUUCCAAAUGAGACCCUAAACGAGAAAUAUUUAGGUAUGCCCUCGGAUAUAGGCUCAUCUAAAAGCGGUGCAUUUAAAUACUUGAAGGAUCGUCUAUGGAGUAAGUGCAAGGGUGGAUUGAGAGCACAAUGUCUUCAGCAAGCAAAGAGGUUUUGGUGA
rnacentral:rRNA from 1 species